UUAAAGUCAGACGUAAAUCUUAAAGAUUGGUCAAAUGCCAGUAUAAAUUAUAACAAUGAGUGAAAAAGAAUUUAUUGAAGGAGUACUUUGUGCCAAGCAGCUAAGCCCUAGGGAUACAGAUUAAAAAAAACAAAACAAAACAAAUACAGUCCAUACUCUAAAGCAGUUUACAUUCUAAUAUUAGGAGACAAUAUAUAUAGCAGAAUAGUGGCUAGGGAGGGGCACACAUCCAGAAAAUUAUAGAUGCAGUGAACAGGCACGUAAAUAGAUUUUCCCCUCUCUUUAAGGAACAGAGGCAUAGUUGAUUUGGUCUUAGUUCCAGAAUCAGAGACAGGGAAGAUAUGCAUUCAAGGUCGUUGGCAGUCUUUGUGAGAAGAUGGUUGGAGAACACUGUGGGUACAGUGUCUGCUGGGCACACACAUGAGCAUCAUGCAACUCUGGGACUACCACCAAGGUAUUGUCAAGUCUUUUAUCACCCUGGCAACACAGCAGCUACUCUCAUAUGGUCACUAAGUAGGAAGACAAGAGAUGAUAAUGGCCUGAACUAUGGUGGUGACCAUGUAAAUGGCGAGAGUUGGAUGCAAGAUAUGUUUGAAGCAUCAUGAAUGAGGUCAGAAAACAAAUCAGUUUCUGACUUUCAAUCUCUUGUCUUUACACUUUAUCCCCCACAAAGUUGCCAAAAAUAAUACUCCUAAAACAUUUUUGCUCAUUUUCA
rnacentral:lncRNA from 1 species